GCCUGUGGCCAUAUCACCCUGCAGCUCUCAACUGGUUACCCAUCGAUGCUAAGCAGGUUUGAGCCUGGUCAGUACUUAGAUGGGAGACAUCCUGGGAAGCUAUGGUUGCUGCUGGAA
rnacentral:rRNA from 1 species